GAAGAGAAAUGCCUACCUACUCCAAUCCAAAUAAUUAUGAGAGACAAAAAAUUGAGAGGAGUAAGGGAAUGCACAGUGGUAAUCCGAGAGUGGAAAAAGAAGAGGUUGUGUGGAGCGAAGUGAGGGGAUUACCACCAAACUGUGCUAACAUUGGUUGUCCUUCUAUUUCUAAGGACAUUUGUGUAGGUACCAACAUGGCAAGCGAAGACGAACAAUGCCAAAAG
rnacentral:lncRNA from 1 species